UUCUCCCCGGUGCGCUGGAGUGCCUGUGU
rnacentral:piRNA from 1 species